UACGUAGGGAGCAAGCGUUGUUCGGAUUUACUGGGCGUAAAGAGCGCGCAGGCGGUCGUUCAAGUCGCGUGUGAAAGCCCCCGGCUCAACUGGGGAGGGUCACGCGAUACUGAUCGACUCGAAGGCAGGAGAGGGAAGUGGAAUUCCCGGUGUAGUGGUGAAAUGCGUAGAUAUCGGGAGGAACACCAGUGGCGAAGGCGACUUCCUGGCCUGUUCUUGACGCUGAGGCGCGAAAGCUAGGGGAGCAAACGGG
rnacentral:rRNA from 1 species